UACGUAGGGUGCAAGCGUUAAUCGGAAUACUGGCGUAAAGCGUGCGCAGGCGGUGAUGUAAGACAGGUGUGAAAUCCCCCGGGCUUAACCUGGGAACUGCAUUUGUGACUGCAUCGCUGGAGUGCGGCAGAGGGGGGAUGGAAUUCCGCGUGUAGCAGUGAAAUGCGUAGAUAUGCGGAGGAACACCGAUGGCGAAGGCAA
rnacentral:rRNA from 1 species